rnacentral:misc_RNA from 1 species
AACGCACAUUGCGCCCCCUGGUAUUCCGGGGGGCAUGCCUGUCCGAGCGUCAUUACAACCCUCAAGCCUAGCUUGGUGUUGGGCUCUGCUGCCUGGCGGGCCCUAAAGUCAGUGGCGGUGCUGUCCGGCUCCGAGCGUAGUAACUCUUCUCGCUCUGGAGGCCUGGGCGUGUGCCUGCCAGUAACCCCCCAAUUUUAUCAGGUUGACCUCGGAUCAGGUAGGGAUACCCGCUGAACUUAA